rnacentral:rRNA from 1 species
AUUGAACGCUGGCGGCAUGCUUUACACAUGCAAGUCGAACGGCAGCACAGGGAGCUUGCUCCCGGGUGGCGAGUGGCGCACGGGUGAGUAAUACAUCGGAACGUGUCCUGUUGUGGGGGAUAACUGCUCGAAAGGGUGGCUAAUACCGCAUGAGACCUGAGGGUGAAAGCGGGGGAUCGCAAGACCUCGCGCAAUUGGAGCGGCCGAUGCCCGAUUAGCUAGUUGGUGAGGUAAAGGCUCACCAAGGCGACGAUCGGUAGCUGGUCUGAGAGGACGACCAGCCACACUGGGACUGAGACACGGCCCAGACUCCUACGGGAGGCAGCAGGUGGGGUAAUUUUGGACAAUGGGGGCAACCCUGAUCCAGCCAUGCCGCGUGCAGGAUGAAGGCCUUCGGGUUGUAAACUGCUUUUGUCAGGGACGAAAAGGACCGUGUUAAUACCAUGGUCUGCUGACGGUACCUGAAGAAUAAGCACCGGCUAACUACGUG